UUUUCAGGCUAGUCUCAAACUCCUGACCUCAGGUGAUCCACCCUCUUUGGCCUCCCAAAGUGCUGGGAUUACAGACGUGAGUCACCGCGCCCGGCCAGGGAUACUUUGAAGGUUAUACUAUAUUAAUAGAAACUCAACAGAAAAUGUUCAGAGAUUCAAAGAAGAAACAAAAGUUUAUUACAUAAUAAGAUUUUGUAAUUUAUUUUGAUCGCCACUUAAUAUGUAAAACCUAUUUUAUACAUAUCCAUUGUAAUAAAGAGAAGCAAAUGAACUACGUAGUAACUAAGCAGAUGGUCUUGAAUUAAGCUAUUCCAAAUAUCAUUAAUGCUUACAUCUUGGAAAGAUCCUCACCAUCUCUACCGCCAGUUUUUAAAACAAUGGCUGUUGCUAUUUAAUUUUACUUUGAGGUUGUGGUUGUUUUAAUUUCACUGGAUUUUUGCUUAUUUCGUUUGGUCACAAUAUGAGAACCUCAGUUUUUUCCCCUCUUAACCAUAGAAUUCGUUUUGUAUAGUUUGGUUGUUCAAAGUAUGCAAUAGAGUACCUUACAUUUUCUAAACAAUGAAAGACACAAAAUAUAUUUGAUAUAUUAUUAAUAUAGCAUCAAAUUAAAUUAUAAAUGAAAAAUGUUGCUUUCAUCUGUUUUUAAAUAACAUUUAGUAUUUCCUGGAGGGUGUUUUAGGAAAUGCUAUUAUAGUAGAGCUAGGCACUACACACUCAGCAUUAGUGACAAUUAGAAUGCAUUGAAAAUUUUCAAUUUUAUCAUUCUUUUCAGAGCUAAAAUUUCUCUAUUUAUCUGACCAGUUGUCAUAGGUAAGUUGGUUUUUAAAAACAAUGAUAAACUAAAAAGAAAGAGGCUUUCCAUGUCUUUAAAUAUUCCCAAGAGAAUAUCUACCUGUUUACACCUUUAACAUGUAGUAGUACUAAAGUUAGCUAAUAUUCAUAUCACCAAGGGUUUUCCUUACCUCAUCACUUUUAGAAAACUAUUGCAUGCAUACCUGAUCUAUAGAAAUUAUAGUGCAUGAAAUUAUGGAAGUCUUUGUUUAGCAUAUUACAGCUUGCCACGUUGUUAAUGUCCUUUCAGAAAAAUUCAGGCCAGCUACUGUCCAACCCCAUGGGCACAGGCCUGCUUAUUCCAGUCACUUCUUUACAAAGUCUGGCAGAGACUGCAGCUCAGAAAGGUCCUUUUCUUUAAAAUGGUAUUCAGCUCCUGUAAGCCCUACUCAGGUGUGACAGAUAAUCCAUUGCUAUUGUUCAUAUAUAUUGGAGUACAGUGGAAUUAUUUAACUGAAAAGGAUAAAAAUUAAGGAAGGAUACAGCUUAAUUUUAUCUUGCUUUAUAGAGGUUUAAGAAACAAUAUGAGGUUUAUCGAGGCUUUGUUUUGGUAUAUAGUGUUGUCGAAACAGGCAGUUAUGAAAUUUAAAAAUGAGACUAUAUCGAUGUAUUAUUAUGCAAUGGCAUCUGAGAAACAACAUAUUAAUAUAACCAGUAAAAACAGAACUGAAGUUUAGUGUUCAAGGUAAAAGUAAUGUACCCGAAAUUUGUGGAAUUAGGUUUUUAUCUUAGUUUUUCCUAUUAAAAGAGGUAUGAUCCUACACAAAUCAGAUCACUUCUGUGAACAGCAAUUUCUUCUUUUAUAUAAUUGUAUUAUAAGGUCUCUUUUGUCUAUAUCACAAAAUUUUAGGAGAACUUACAACACAAUUCAAGGGAAUGUUAUAAAAUGUUAGUGAAUACAGAGUAUAUAGCAAGCAUUUUGCUGGGUGCUUUCUCUAUAAUGUAUACACAAAUACAUUGUAUAUUGUGAAUUACCAUAUAAAUGUAUGGAAACAUUGUGAUAUAUAGAAUAGUACUUACAACUGAGAACAUGUGACACUUGAUUUUCUUUCUGAAUUAUUUCACUUAGAAUAGUGGCUUCCAGCUUUACACAUGUUGCUGUGAGCUGGGCUGUUUUCUUGAAAAUACGUCUAUCCUUGUACAUAAUGUCAUGAGUAUAAUUAACCUGACUAUAAUUAAAUGGAAAAAAAUUGUUUGGAACUAAAGAGAUAGGAAAGGAGAAAUGAGAAGAUGUGAGCUGAUGAAGAAAGAAAGGAAGAUUGGGGAAAAAAUGUGACUGAUUGAGAGAAGGGUGAAGGAUUUGCCUGGAGUGAAAGGGAAAGAGUAAAAAAGAAGAGGUUAAGUUGUUUGAGGCUGUUCUUAUGUACAUCAAGUAAUGUACGAGAUUUGAAAGAAACUGAAUUUUGGCGGCCAAAGACGUAUAGAACUAACCAGAUGAUACCAGCAGAGGAGUCCUCCUAGAUGCUAAGUUUGCGCUGGAUGUCUAAGCUAACAGCUAACAUCAAGGUUGCCAAGCGUAUUAGUCUGUUUGGGUUGCUAUAAUAAAAUAUCAUAAAUUGGGUGGCUUAUAAACAACAGAUAUUUAUUUCUUACAGGUCUGGUGUCUGGAAAGUCUAAGAUAAGGCACCAGUAGAUUUGGUGAGUGCUAGCUUUCUGGUUCGUAGAUGGCUGUCUUCAUGUUAUACCCUCAUAUGGUAGAAGGGAUGAGGGGUUUUCUGGUGUCUCUUACUUAAGAGCACUAAUUCCAUUGGAGGAAGCUUUGCACUCAUGACCUCAUCAAUUUUCAAAGGCCUUACUUUCAAAUAUUUCCACAUUGGAGAAUAGAUGUGAAGCUAUGAAUUUUGGGAGAAACGUACAUAUUUAAUCUAUAAUAUCUAUUCAUUAGGCACUAAUUCAUUGACAUUAACUAUUAAGUGAGGCCAAGGACUUAAGAGUGUGUGUUGGUACUCCUCAGCCUUCACCCAUAGAGGAAGAAACUACUUAGCCUCUUGCCCUUCCAUUUCCUGCCUGUCUACUUGUCUCUUAUCCUUAGAAUCUGACAUAGUCAAGCCACUCUUGUCUAGGUGAAUUUUUCUCUUAUGUGUUUGCCAAAAUAAUAAUUGUUUCUUUUAUUUAAUCCAAAUAUAAUUUAUAGUUAGCUAAAAUGAUACUUCUUAUACUUGGAAGACCACUUAGCAUUAGACAGAGCUGGUUUUGAGCUCAUGGAUAACAGAAAUGUCAGCAUCUCACAGAACAUCCCCCAUUCUUACCACAACUAUGUGGGUAUGAGGAUGCCCAGACUAAGUUC
rnacentral:lncRNA from 1 species